CCCUUAGAUGUUCUGGGCUGCACGCGCGCUACACUGAUGCAUCCAACAAGUUUUUUCCUUGUUCGAGAGGACUAGGUAAUCUUAUGAGAAUGCAUCGUGAUGGGGAUAGAUUAUUGCAAUUAUUAAUCUUCAACGAGGAAUUCCUAGUAAGCGCGAGUCAUCAGCUCGUGCUGAUUACGCCCCUGCCCUUUGUACACACCGCCCGUCGCUGCAACUGAUUAGGUGACCUGGUGAACAUCUUGGACCGGCUCACUCAAUUUCGAGAGGACUGGAAAAGGCCGUAAAUCAGGUACAUCUAGAAAUUGCAAAAGUCGUAACA
rnacentral:rRNA from 1 species